rnacentral:rRNA from 1 species
GGUUAAGCGACUAAGCGUACACGGUGGAUGCCCUGGCAGUCAGAGGCGAUGAAGGACGUGCUAAUCUGCGAAAAGCGUCGGUAAGGUGAUAUGAACCGUUAGAUCGAACGCUGCAACUGCUGGUUGACCCGCUGCUGCUGCGCCAGCGGCGGC